rnacentral:snRNA from 12 species
ACACUUGCUUGGCAGAGGAGACAUCAUGAUCAGGCAGCUGGAUUUCCCAAGGCACUGCAUUCUGGAUGCCCUGACCCAUGUGAUUUCCCAAAAUGUGGGAAAUUUGGCUACAUAACUUGUAGUAAUGGGGGACUGCUCUAGCAGGGGCCUUG